GAGCCUUUGGGAUUUCAUGAGCUCUCUUCUUCUUAUUCUCACUCUCUCAUGGUAAUCUCUCUUUCUCCCCCCACUCAUCUUCUCUCUUUUCCCCCUCCAUUGGACCCAUCUACCACCGCCACCCAUUGCACAGCCACCUAUCUGCCACCGCCACCCACUGUACAACCACCCUUUGCCGUUGAUGCUGGCCAUCGUCGCCACUAUUGUCGACCUCCAAUCUCGCCAUUAGGAAGUUCUCACACAAAUCCCACAAAAGAAGUGCUCAGAGCUCAGUUAUCGAGAAGGGACUUGCCUUAGUUCCAUUUCUUAGUAAAUUCAGCUCCAUUAAAAUGGUUGGUAAGAAAGGAUCUGUUCCAUUGAUUGAGUAUAAGCUACUAGAAAAAGCAACUGUUAUAUAAUUUUAGAUUUGAAUUUUUAUGUUAGAUAUAAAAAGAAUUAAUAAUAAUAAUGAAAAUUUUAAGGGUUGGUUAAGUAGGCACAUGUGGAUCAUGUGGUGGGAGGCCUCCGAUUAGGCAGGAAGAAAAGUGGUGGUUGCCUUGUCCCAAUGUACCACAGGAUGGAUUGUCAGAGGAUGCCAGGAAGAGCUUGCAGCAGCGCAGGGAUUGUGCAAAUCAGAUAUUGAAGGCGGCUUUGGCAAUUAAUGGUAGUGUGCUGGUUGAGAUGGAGAUCCCCAGUGCUUACUUGGAUACCUUGCCCAAGGUAUAGGUUUCUAUUUCUAUGCCGAUUGACUUAUGGUGUUAAGCAUGACAGUAUGACACAGUUGAAGACUAAAGAUGCUAUCACAUGGUCAUUAGUUUUCUUGCUAUGUUAUAUUAUUGGUUGAAAUAGUAGCAAACUAAAGGAGAUUUAGGUGCUUGUAGACAUGUGGUCUUAGAAGAAUGCUUAUCCUAGAUGGGGAUCAUUUCAUUUUGAUA